UAUUUAAUUUUUUAAGUAAAAAUAUUAACUUAUUUAUUCUUUAAGGGAUAAGCUUUGAAGUUAAUAACCUAUAAUUUAUUUUAUAGAAAUAUAAUAGUAAGCUUUAAACCAGCUAUCUUUAAGAUUACGUUUUAGUUCAUUAUUUUUUAUUUUGAUUUUAUAAAUAUUUUAGGUUUUUUAUUAAGAUUAUUAAUUUAAUUUUAAAAUUUUUGUAAUAAUGAUAGAAUUAGUAUAUUUAUUUGUAUGAAAUUUUUACCUUGUGAACUUAUUAUAAGGAACUAGGCAAAAUUGAUUUCCGAGUGUUUAUCAAAAACAUGUCCUCUUGUUUAUAUUUUGAGGUCUGGCCUGCUCACUGAGCGUAUUUUUAAAGAGCCGCGGUAUUUUGACCGUGCAAAGGUAGCAUAAUCAUUAGUCUCUUAAUUAGUGGCUGGAAUGAAUGGCUUGACGAGAAAUCAACUGUCUCUUAAUAAAUUUUUGAAUUUAACUUUUGAGUCAAAAGGCUUAAAUUCUUCUUUAGGACGAGAAGACCCUAUAGAGCUUGACAUUUUACUUUUAUAUAGUUUUUUGUUUGUCUUUCUAUAUUUAAUGAUGAUGUUUUGUUGGGGUGACAUGAAGAAUAGAUAAACUCUUCAUUAUUAUAUCAUUUAUUUAUGUUUGUUAUUUUGAUCCAUAAUUUAUGAUCAUAAGAUUAAGUUACCUUAGGGAUAACAGCGUAAUUGUUUUUGAGAGCUCAUAUCGACAAAGCAGAUUGCGACCUCGAUGUUGGAUUAAGAAAAAUUUUGGGUGCAGGAGCCCAAUGAUUAGGUCUGUUCGACCUUUAAAUUCUUACAUGAUCUGAGUUCAGACUGGCGUGAGCCAGGUCGGUUAAUAUCCUAAGAUUGUUAAUCCAUAUUAGUACGAAAGGACCAUAUGGUUAAAAUAUUUUUUGUUAUAUUGAUUAAUAUUAAUUUAUUUA